rnacentral:rRNA from 1 species
UACGGAGGAUGCAAGCGUUAUCCGGAUUUAUUGGGCGUAAAGCGUCCGCAGGUGGUUUUCCAAGUCUGCUGUUAAAGCGCGAGGCUUAACCUCGUACAGGCAGUGGAAACUGGAUGACUAGAGUAUGGUAGGGGUAGCGGGAAUUCCCAGUGUAGCGGUGAAAUGCGUAGAUAUUGGGAAGAACACCAGCGGCGAAAGCGCGCUACUGGGCCAUUACUGACACUCAUGGACGAAAGCGUGGGGAGCGAACAGG